GGCUCAGAUUGAACGCUGGCGGCAUGCCUUACACAUGCAAGUCGAACGGCAGCACGGGGCAACCUGGUGGCGAGUGGCGAACGGGUGAGUAAUGCAUCGGAACGUGCCAUUGAGUGGGGGAUAACGUAGCGAAAGUUGCGCUAAUACCGCAUAUUCUGUGAGCAGGAAAGCAGGGGACCGCAAGGCCUUGUGCUCUUUGAGCGGCCGAUGUCAGAUUAGCUAGUUGGUGAGGUAACGGCUUACCAAGGCGACGAUCUGUAGCGGGUCUGAGAGGAUGAUCCGCCACACUGGAACUGAGACACGGUCCAGACUCCUACGGGAGGCAGCAGUGGGGAAUUUUGGACAAUGGGCGCAAGCCUGAUCCAGCCAUGCCGCGUGAGUGAAGAAGGCCUUCGGGUUGUAAAGCUCUUUCGGCGGGGAAGAAAUUGCACGGGUUAAUACCCUGUGUAGAUGACGGUACCCGAAUAAGAAGCACCGGCUAACUACGUG
rnacentral:rRNA from 1 species